GCCCUACGGGACGCAGCAGUGGGGAAUAUUGCACAAUGGGGGGAACCCUGAUGCAGCGACGCCGCGUGAGUGAAGAUGUAUUUCGGUAUGUAAAGCUCUAUCAGCAGGGAAGAAAAUGACGGUACCUGACUAAGAAGCCCCGGCUAACUACGUGCCAGCAGCCGCGGUAAUACGUAGGGGGCACGCGUUAUCCGGAUUUACUGGGUGUAAAGGGAGCGUAGACGGCAGAGCAAGUCUGAAGUGAAAGCCCGCGGCCCAACUG
rnacentral:rRNA from 1 species